rnacentral:rRNA from 1 species
GAUGAACGCUAGCGGGAGGCUUAACACAUGCAAGUCGAGGGGCAGCAUAGGGUAGCAAUACUCUGAUGGCGACCGGCAAACGGGUGAGUAACGCGUAUGUAACCUACCCUGUACAGGGGGAUAACCCGGAGAAAUUCGGACUAAUAUCCCAUAACAAUAUCCGGGGGCAUCUUUGGAUAUUUAAAGUUCCGGCGGUACGGGAUGGGCAUGCGUAACAUUAGCUAGUUGGUAAGGUAACGGCUUACCAAGGCUUUGAUGUUUAGGGGGCCUGAGAGGGUGGUCCCCCACACUGGUACUGAGACACGGACCAGACUCCUACGGGAGGCAGCAGUGAGGAAUAUUGGUCAAUGGGCGCAAGCCUGAACCAGCCAUCCCGCGUGCAGGAAGACGGCGCUAUGCGUUGUAAACUGCUUUUCCAGGGAGAGAAACUUGCGCACGUGUUGCGCAAUUGACGGUACCCUGGGAAUAAGCAUCGGCUAACUCCGUGCCAGCAGCCGCCGUAACAC